GGGAUUGCCCUAGUAACGGCGAGUGAAGCGGCAACAGCUCAAAUUUGAAAUCUGGCGCAAGCCCGAGUUGUAAUUUGUAGAGGAUGCUUCUGGGUAGCGACCGGUCUAAGUUCCUUGGAACAGGACGUCAUAGAGGGUGAGAAUCCCGUAUGUGACCGGCCCGCACCCUUUACGUAGCUCCUUCGACGAGUCGAGUUGUUUGGGAAUGCAGCUCUAAAUGGGAGGUAAAUUUCUUCUAAAGCUAAAUACCGGCCAGAGACCGAUAGCGCACAAGUAGAGUGAUCGAAAGAUGAAAAGUACUUUGGAAAGAGAGUUAAAAAGCACGUGAAAUUGUUGAAAGGGAAGCGCCUGCAAUCAGACUUCGCGGCAGUGUUCCGCCGGCCUUCUGGCCGGUUCAUUCUGUCGCGAGGCCAUCAUCGUCUCGGCCCGCUGGAUAAGACCUUGGGAAUGUAGCUCACCUUCGGGGGAGUGUUAUAGCUUAUGGUGAUGCAGCGAGGCUGGGGCGAGGUCCGCGCUUCGGCAAGGAUGAUGGCGUAAUGGUUGUCGGCGGCCCGUCUUGAAACACGGACCAAGGAGUCUAACAUCUAUGCGAGUGUUCGGGUGUCAAACCCCUACGCGUAAUGAAAGUGAACGGAGGUGGGAACCGCAAGGUGCACCAUCGACCGAUCCUGAUGUCCUCGGAUGGAUUUGAGUAAGAGCAUAGCUGUUGGGACCCGAAAGAUGGUGAACUAUGCCUGAAUAGGGUGAAGCCAGAGGAAACUCUGGUGGAGGCUCGCAGCGGUUCUGACGUGCAAAUCGAUCGUCAAAUUUGGGUAUAGGGGCG
rnacentral:rRNA from 1 species